GCCGGACGCAGUGGCGUGCACCUGUAAUCAUAGCAGCUUCCAAGGCUGAGGCAGGAGGAUCACAAGUUCAAAGCCAGCCUCAGCAAAAGUGAGUCCCUAAGCAAUUCAGUGAGACCCUGCCUCUA
rnacentral:sRNA from 1 species